ACUAGCAGUAAGAGUUUGAUCAUGGCUCAGAACGAACGCUGGCGGCAUGCCUAACACAUGCAAGUCGAACGAGACCUUCGGGUCUAGUGGCGCACGGGUGCGUAACGCGUGGGAAUCUGCCCUUGGGUUCGGAAUAACCAGGAGAAAUCCUGGCUAAUACCGGAUGAUGACGUAAGUCCAAAGAUUUAUCGCCCAGGGAUGAGCCCGCGUAGGAUUAGCUAGUUGGUGAGGUAAAGGCUCACCAAGGCGACGAUCCUUAGCUGGUCUGAGAGGAUGGUCAGCCACACUGGGACUGAGACACGGCCCAGACUCCUACGGGAGGCAGCAGUGGGGAAUAUUGGGCAAUGGGCGAAAGCCUGACCCAGCCAUGCCGCGUGAGUGACGAAGGCCUUAGGGUUGUAAAGCUCUUUUGGCGGGGACGAUAAUGACGGUACCCGCAGAAUAAGCCCCGGCUAACUUCGUGCCAGCAGCCGCGGUAAUAC
rnacentral:rRNA from 1 species